rnacentral:rRNA from 1 species
GACGAACGCUGGCGGCGUGCUUAACACAUGCAAGUCGAACGGAAAGGCCCUGCUUUUGUGGGGUGCUCGAGUGGCGAACGGGUGAGUAACACGUGAGUAACCUGCCCUUGACUUUGGGAUAACUUCAGGAAACUGGGGCUAAUACCGGAUAGGAGCUCCUGCUGCAUGGUGGGGGUUGGAAAGUUUCGGCGGUUGGGGAUGGACUCGCGGCUUAUCAGCUUGUUGGUGGGGUAGUGGCUUACCAAGGCUUUGACGGGUAGCCGGCCUGAGAGGGUGACCGGCAACAUGGGGACUGAGAUACGGCCCAGCCUCCGCCGGGGGGCAGAAGGGGGGAAUAUGGCACAAGGGGGGGAGGCCUGAUGCAGCAACGCCGCGUGGGGGAGGGCGGCUUUCGGUUUGUAAACCGCUUCCGCCGGGGACGAAGGGGGAGUGAGGGUAAUGGAUAAAAAAAGCCGGCCUAACUACGUG